rnacentral:lncRNA from 1 species
GUCCAGAAACUGAGAUGACGGAGGCCAGGAUUCCAGGAAGGGGACACAUGAGGACAGGCUUCCUGGUUUCCAGCGGGGAGAGGCCAUGAGGCCAUCCCCCUCAGCAGGAAUCUCCAAGUUGAGGAAAACAAUUUCGUGCCAUUCAGUUUAAAAUAGGAAAUUGGGAGGGAGAGGCAGAUACAGGGAAGAGAAAAUAAAUGAAGUCACCCCCCCCACCCUGAAAAGAAGAAAAGGAGCGUACAUCCCCCCCCACCCAAGGAGGAAAAGGUCCGGUCCACACAGCGAAGGUUCACAGUGUCCAUCUGUGGAAGAGACCUUGUGGCUGUCCCGUGUCGCUGCACGUAAGCGCCUUAUAACCUACCGCGCUUGUCCCCCGAUGCCUGCCCCCCUUUCUGGCCUCAGUCUGUCUUUAACGGGUUUUGAGACCCUACAAGCUUUCCUUCCCUCUCCCUCCUCCCUGUGCUUCCUCCUCUGCUAAAAGUCCGGGACACGGGGGUGGGGAACAUCAGAGACCCUCGGCCAGGCCCAGACUCUCAGCCCUGCCCUGGGAGGAGGGGGAGCAGUGAGAGGCGAGGGGCCAAGGCAGGCCCCUCCUGCCGGGGCGGCGGGUGGGGGAUGAACCAGCCCCGGCCCCUUGAGGUGGUGGCCACAGCAGGCCGAGCUUCCUUCCUGCCAGGCCUCUGCCUUUCACUUCUGGAAGGCCACAAGCUCCAACAGACAGGCACCCAGGGAAUUUCCUCUGGCGAUUCCAGCACGUCCAGGCACGACCAAGGCAGGUCCCCGGAGGUCCAGGGUGUCGCACCCACAUCUGCUCCAGCUGGCUCACCCCUCCCCCCAACUCCACCAGCCCCUCCCCCGGGGCCCCCCCAGUACCCCCCUCCCCAGCCCCCCACCUCUGCCUGCCCUCCUAGCCUGCCCAGGCCGUGGCCCCAGGUCCUGCCAUUACAAACACAGGGCCCCGGCCAGCCAUGUUCUCCUCAACAUAAAUGUCAUUUGUUUUUUGUGAAGAUUUUGCCCCCCGCCCCCAGGGAACGUGAUCCUGAAUCGGACCCAGGACAGGGAUACAGGAAAACCCCCAGGAUGAGCUACCGUGCGGUGGGGACAUCGGGGCGGGGGCUGUGCUGUCGUGGCACCUGUUUUGGGUCUUUUGCAGAGCUGGCCCCUGCCCGGGUUUCAAGAGCUGCUUGUCAGAUCACAACAGAGGGAAUGUGGAAAUGGGGGGGCGGCGGGGAGGCGGGGCAAGGGAGUCUGGACAAACUGGCACAUACACGACAGAUGUUUGCUCAGAAAAAUACAGUAAAAUCAUCAUGCAAAUAUAACAGGGAAUCUGCUUUCUCACACCACUGGCUUCUCCGCCUGCCUGCUUUUCUGUUUUGCCAAUCCGGUGUGAGGAGGGGUUGGGGGGCAGGUUUUGGGGAGCUGGGGGAGGCCUGCUCUGCGCGUCCAUGCCCGCCUCCCCCCUCCACUCCCCAGGAGAACAGUCCUUUCUUUGCAAAUGUCACCCCCAAAGUGAGCCCCGGGCUUGGUCGGUCCCCCCAGUGGGUGUGAGAGAGGUGCUCGGUCGAGCCCUAAGGCCCCCUCACCCUCCGCUGCCACCCACCCCCAGAUCCUACCCUGGCAGGAAGGUCACUAGAGCCCCCCACUCAGGAACUGGCACUAGCUUUCCGGUCAGACUCCGCCCACAGUACAGGUCUUGGCCCCUUCCCGGCACCCACCCUCACCCCACAGUCACUCCCCAGAUCUCAAGAAACCCCACUUGGGCCAGUGACACAGGCCAGAGCGUGGGGAGAGCCGGGCGGGCUCCUCCCUCUCCUGAGGUGGUUGGGGCGCCAGGGGGCACCCUGGCAGGCAGGCGAAGCUACGGCUGUCUCCACCCCCUACAGGCCCAUCUCCCAUCCGCAGGUGGAAGGACCGCUGACUCUGGCCCCUCAACACCCUGACGGUGUUCAAGACCCCCCAGUCUCAGGACCCCAGAUCUGCCCUCUUAGAGCUCGCCCCCGGGAAGCCCCUUGUUCUGGAGAAAGGCAGCCACUGUGGUCUGGCCCUGCCCUCCCUUCAGCGCCCUCUGCCACCCACACUGAGAAACCCCAG